GUACUGCUGAGGAGUCCCGGAUUAGGACGAAACAGUUUUCCAGUAC
rnacentral:hammerhead_ribozyme from 1 species